AUCUCAAAUAAUGAGACUUUAGAGCAUCAUGAAAUACGAAAAUACAUGCUCUUCUGAGAAGCAUUAUCUUCAUUCCAGACAACAUAUUCGGACAUUUAAACAUAUCAACAACUUGCAAGGAUAAGAAAUCAAACAGUAGGGAUUGUAGGUGAAGAGCCCUCUCUUUCACCCCUUUCACCGACACUGUUAUCUGCAAACUUUAAGCUUGCUGAGUGUUCAAUCGGUAUUCUAAUAGAAUGGACAAAAGUUGGAUAAAUAAGUUAAGAUCUAGUGCUGAAUAUUUGGAUGGAGUUCGGAAUUUCAUUAAGUUUGCCUUUGAGAAAUCUAAUAUGAACGGAAAGAUUUUAUGUCCAUGUCAAAAAUGUGUAAACGGUUCUGCUCUUGAUCCAAAAAUUGUUGAAGAACAUUUGGUAUGGAAUGGUUUUCUAAAGGGUUAUACUGAAUGGGUACUCCAUGGAGAGUUCAUACCUUCAUGUAACCAACCCUCCGAUCUAGAAGACACCUUCAAUUUUGGAUGUAGUGACACGGAACAAAAUUCUGUAGAAAAAGAUGAUAUAAGGGGCCUACUUAGAGAUGCUCUUGGACAUAAUAUCAGAACUGUAGGAGAAGAUGAGCGUGCAGUUAUUGAUCAGUCCAUGCAUGUUGAGGAAUCUAUACAUGCUGAUGACACAGCUCAUUAUGAUAACUUGGUGAAAGAUUGUGAUCAAGAACUGUAUCCGGGUUGUAAG